UACGUAGGGUGCGAGCGUUAAUCGGAAUACUGGGCGUAAAGCGUGCGCAGGCGGUGAUGUAAGACCGAUGUGAAAUCCCCGGGCUUAACCUGGGAACUGCAUUGGUGACUGCAUUGCUGGAGUAUGGCAGAGGGGGGGUGGAAUUCCACGUGUAGCAGUGAAAUGCGUAGAGAUGUGGAGGAACACCGAUGGCGAAGGCAGCCCCCUGGGCCAAUACUGACGCUCAUGCACGAAAGCGUGGGGAGCAAACAG
rnacentral:rRNA from 1 species